GACGAACGCUGGCGGCGUGCCUAAUACAUGCAAGUUGAGCGCUGAAGGUUGGUACUUGUACCCACUGGAUGAGCAGCGAACGGGUGAGUAACGCGUGGGGAAUCUGCCUUUGAGCGGGGGACAACAUUUGGAAACGAAUGCUAAUACCGCAUAAAAACUUUAAACACAAGUUUUAAGUUUGAAAGAUGCAAUUGCAUCACUCAAAGAUGAUCCCGCGUUGUAUUAGCUAGUUGGUGAGGUAAAGGCUCACCAAGGCGAUGAUACAUAGCCGACCUGAGAGGGUGAUCGGCCACAUUGGGACUGAGACACGGCCCAAACUCCUACGGGAGGCAGCAGUAGGGAAUCUUCGGCAAGGGACGAAAGUCUGACCGAGCAACGCCGCGUGAGUGAAGAAGGUUUUCGGAUCGUAAAACUCUGUUGGUAGAGAAGAACGUUGGUGAGAGUGGAAAGCUCAUCAAGUGACGGUAACUACCCAGAAAGGGACGGCUAACUACGUG
rnacentral:rRNA from 1 species